rnacentral:lncRNA from 1 species
UGCUUUAAAUGCGUGUAUUACUGUCUUACUUGACUACUGUUUGAUUUUGAAAAUCUAAGAUGUCAUUACAUUGUUAGAUGCACAUUACUUAUUUAUGUAUUUAUGUUUGAUUUGGUGACAGAGACUAAGGACAAAUAGGAAUAGGAUGUGAUCUGAUAAAUGGAUAAGAUGACAGCCUCACUAGAUAUCCUGCGAGAUGGUGGAC